UGUUAAAUAGUUGCUGUAUUAGAAGCUUGAGACAAUAAUUCGUGUUUUCAAAUUUGCCAAAAAUCAAAGUAAAAUCAGAUCUUUUUGCAAGGCAAUUCUAAGUAGACAACGUAGAAACUUAAGACCCGCAAGUACCUCUUUGAAGCUUUCCCAUCCACAACUAAUAUAAAUAAGAGUCUUAGGCAGUGAUUGACCCUCUUCCGGAGAUGUUUUGCUUUCAAUCUGAACUGAGGCUUCCCUUGCACGUAAAAUCCAUGGUCUCUUUUCAUUCUUGACCUUUGAAAAAGACCUGAAAUAGAGGCACAAAGAAUAAAUUACUUAAAUCUUAAAGCUUUAGAGUUGCUGUUUCAUACAUUUCAGUCACAUGGAAAUUACAGAAGCAGCCAUACCUUUCAGUUAACAUUGCUCUUUUCUCAGCUAAUGAUAAAGUCCGUAGAGCAUCAACCAGAGAUGGAUCCAGCCCCUUUCUAGGAGGGUCAACAACAACUACAUCUGAUCCCAUUAGCCAAGAAAGAGGUCCCUGUUCCAGUUUCCAAUGAAUGAAACUCUUAUUGUAGUUUGAAAUAUUGACAAGAGAGAGAAGUGAAAAUUUAAUUUUCAAUAAUAUUGCCAGCUUAUCUGACUUUAGUCACUGGUAAUGUAAAAAAAUAAAAAGAAAAGAAUAAAAAAGUGAGAGAUAUCUAUAUAUAUGAACUUCAGAGGAAAAUUCAGAGGGUUAUUUGUGUUUUUGUUUGUAUGUGUGUGUGCAUGUGUAUGUAUGAGUGUAAAAGUUGGAGGUGUUGAACGCUAACAAUUGAAGUGUCUGCAUGAUGCCAGCUGAUGGUAGUAUCUAUAGACUUUGGUAAGCGGCCAACUGUCUUCUCAAAAGACAGCCUUGCCUCUUUGUUGAUCUCAAUGCAUUUAACAGACCUGGAAAACAAGAAUAAUUAACUUGGAAUUAAUAUAUCAUCUAGUUGGACAUAAGAAUGAGACUUCCAGAGAACUUGAACCAUCUGAGUUCUUGCCUGCAUUUUCUAGUCGCAGCUAAUGAUAAUCCAAUCACACCAGCUCCGGCAUACAAAUCAGCAACUGCUGCUCCAUAUGGGACAUACUUUUGUAACUUGCGAAGCAAUGAAUCAAAAGCCUGAACAGAAGCAGCAGACCAGCAACAUAUAAGUAGGAUUUCUCUCAAGGAACAUAAGAUAGAAUCAGACAUCUUAUGUUAGUGAGCUGCAGCAGUCUCCUGUGUGAUGCAGGAACACAAAAAGGAACACGGAACUUGGGUGCCCAAACAAGAGGCAAAUAAAACUGGAGGCUCCAGCCCCAACAAUUCCAGCAAUUAAUUGUAUCAAAAAGGGAAUUGUACAUUCUCAAGGAUUUGAUGUCCCUCAGAUCCUGAAAUGAAUUAUAAUUUAAUGAUGAUUGAUAAAUAAUAUAGAAUAAAGACAUUCCCAGGUAAUUAAUUAAGAUGGUUUUUCUAGAUUAGAAAUUUUGUCUACCCGUGUAUUUGCUUGGCCAAAACUGGAUGGAGCCAAUGCGAUAUCAAUUCCUCCAACAUGCUCCCAAAAGUCUAUUUCUCCUAAAAGAUGUCUCCACCUAUUCCCAAAAAUUAUCUGCAACAAUAGUAAUAACAUUAUUAAGUUCCCAACCUUAAAAUCAUAUAAAUCUAGAUGUUAAAAUUACAUAAUGUUGUAGAUAAUAUGAAAUACAUGAGCUGGUCUGGUAUAAACAAGUAAACAGAAAUUGAUGAAGCUGAAGAAAGUGGAUCUUACACCAUUCAGAUAUGAGUUGUGCUUAGGCAUACUCCUAAAAGAGUUAGUAAAUUUCAUUUUCUCCUAAGAAGUUUCCCUCUUAAUUUUGCAUGGAGCAAGAUGCAUUCAUUUUGUUCCAAUCCAUUGGAUGCAAAAUCUUCUUUCCAUGUGGUAUGUUUUAUACUUACAAUUAAAUCUAGAAGACAAAUUUCUAAUGGCAUGAAACACAAUGUUUGAAGUAAGAAGAGAACUAACACAAUGAAGGCAUUCCAAAUAUCUCAAAUCAGGCACAAUAGAAAGUUUAGCUACAUAACCUUCCUUACAAGAUUUCAAUUACUUAAUCCUCAACAAUCAUCUACAAUGUCAGAUAGGAAUGAAGAAGAGUUCUAAUGGAUCAAUUCAAUCAAAGACACACUUGUCAACCCAUACACUUGCCUCAAACAUGGGCCUAAUAAACUCACUCAAAGCCACUUAGGUAAAUGCAGAAAGCAAACCUUCAUAAAUAAAUAUUCAGCAUACCGUUAUUUAUUUUUUGGACGGUUUGGAAAGAGAGGAAUAGAUUAACAUUCAGGGGGGGAGUUAGUUAUAUAGAAAGUUAAGAAUUCUUUUGUUUGUAAUUUGUGGGGGUGGACAAAAUUGUAUAAUGGUGCGGAGCCUCGUUCCCUUAUAGGUUUCUUGGAGUGGAUAGCCUCCAGUUAAGGGUCGGUGGGUUUUUUGUUUCUUUUGGUUUGUUUUUGUUGUGAGGUCUUCGUUGUCUCGUAUACUCCCUGUAUGCUAUGCAGAGCUUUGCCUUUUGCUAAUAUAUGUGUUUACUUAUCGAAAAAAAUAAAAUAAAUAAAUAAAUAUUCAGCAUUCGUUAUUGACAUUAUUGCAGCUAAUACCACUGUAUUUUGGCAUUUUUUCUUUUUACAGGCAAAGUAGUAGGAUAUUAAGAUGACUAAGAGAAAAAGGGGCAAACCUAAGUACAUAGGAUGUAUGCAAAAAAGGCCUAAGGCAAACACCAAGAAGGCAUUAAACCUACCAAGAAAGUGCAAAAAAUAAAAAAGGAAAAAUCAAGAAUAGAGCUAAAAUCACAAUUUGAGAGCAAGAGUACAAAGAAUUACAAGUAUGGUGCUUUUCACUCCCAAAAGGUAAGUAACCAAAGCAAGUCUCAAAAAACAAAGGCACAAACAUGCACACAUACACACAUACACACAUACACACAUACACACAUACACACAUAUGGUAUAUAUAUACACAUUCAUGCUAAAAAAUAAAAAAGAAAUAGAACAUAAACAAAAUAAAUCUCACUCACAUUGUUGGUUGAAGUUUGGAAGUUAGCCCACACUGAGUGAAUCAAAUGGACAUUGCUUCUUGGGCCACCAUUUCUCCAUAGGAACUGCAACCAUAAUUAUCAGGCGUCAGCCCAACAAAGCAAAGCAAAACAAGAGAACAAAAGAAAGAAAAAAAAAGAAAAAAAGAAAAGAAAAAUGAGAUGGGUUUACAUUGGCCAAAGCUUUUAGUUUUUCUGAACUAGGUGAAUUCUCAUUCCUUGAAUUCCAAACCAAAGUAACCUGUACUUUACCUGGAAUUAAACACAAUUUAGUACUGUAUACUUUACGCAAGCUAGUGAGAACAGUUCAAAGCCAAAAAUGGAGCAAAAGCAUAUAAAGUAAUACUAGGAUAAGUUAAUAACCGUUUCUAUAUCUUUGUGAUGCAGGAAGGGACGUGUUGUUCAAGGUCACAGCCAUCUGCACCCACAGCAUUCAUUAGAUUCACAUAAAUUACAAAGCACAACCCCUAAAUUCAAUUAGUUAUUAACCUUGACACUCAUUUAUUUUAAAUUCAACCACAUUAAUCACCUGAACAUAUCGCAGCUCACCUGUCCCCUGAUCUUCAUCAUAAGGUUCAACCUUCAAAUGAGUAAUACCUGAAAAUAUUUUGUAGAACAACACAUAUAAUCAAUAAGCAUAAAAACAAAUCAGAAUAAGGACCAAAUCAAGACUCAGUAACAAGAAUAAACCUUGUUUUAAGAGUUCAACAGUUGCAUUGAUGCUUGGAUGAUGAGCUGAAUGAAAAAAAGGAAGAUCCCAAAUUAUAAGUAUGAAAAUGAAUAAAAAUGAAAAUAAGCUCAAAAGCUAUAAUCCAUAUAUAACUAAUUGCAAUUCAAACCUUUACAGUGGGGAAUAUCAACUAUGUUGUGUGAAUUUUCCUGAUAGAGCCCAAUCAGAGGGCUGUUUGAUGAACCCCGAACGGCGAGUUUUGCUCGGCAUCUCCACCCCCACUGAGGGCGAAGCAUAUAAUCAAGAUGAAUACUAGAUGAAUUAAAAUGGAAAAAGAAAAUCUGUAAAAUUAAUAGGGGAAAAUCAGAUGUACCAGUCUACAGCUAUCAAAGGUGAAAUCUGAAACGCCGUGGUUGUUGAAGAAGUCGGUGACGUCGUCGAGAAUGAUCGGACGGUGGAGAUUGAGCUCUUGGGUACAACCAGAGCACCUGCAAAAUCAAGCAUUGUAAAGCAAUUUGUACAAGCGAGUAAGUGGAGAAAGAGAGAGAAGAGGGAGUGCGUACGAUUGGAAGUGUUGGCAUUGGAGGGCGCAGGUUAGGGAAGGAAGUGGAGAUAGGCUAAGGUUAGGGCUUGGUGGAAAGGAGGCGGGAAGUUGUGGUGCGGACGGCUGAGCAGAGAGGAUCGAGAGCGUCAUCAUUGUCUGGGUCGAUGGCCGUGGCGGGAAUGGAUAAUCUCACAAAUAUCUCAUAUCCCUCAGCCCAAAACGCAGCGUUUUAUAAGACUACAGCAUUUUCAUUCAUUUCUAUCUAAACUCCGACUCCCCAAACGCUGCGUUUUGUAUGGGCCCACCACAGCUUUCUUUUUUCGGAUCAUUAAGUAUCCUUAAUUUUGACAGUUUAAUAAAAUAUGAAUUUCUAUUUUUGUUCAAAUCGAACACAAUAAUAGGAAUGGGAACAAUUUUCUACUCCGAUUCCUGGCAAAUUCAGACAUUGGAAUAGUAAUAAUUAAUUCCAGAGCUAUGUAUUCUUGGGAAAUAUAUUCCCACUCCUAUUCUGCCAACCGAACGAGUCGUAGGAUUCUGCCAGUAAUGAAGCUAUAACUGCGAAAUAGGUUCGGCUGAUUAUUGCUGCUGCUAACACAAUAUUUAAAAGCAAUCAAGAUCAUAAGAAAUAAUUCCCAAACAUGAAUUUAUUUGUGCAAAUGGCAGGUUUACAAUUUAUGAGAACUGAUGUUUUCAACAAGUAUCUCUUCAUCUUAAGGCAUGUUCUCAGAUUUUCUUCAACUGCCACAGUUUUUUUCAAACACCUACACCUUUCUUGUCAGACGGGCAUCAUUCAGUGCCACAGCCAGAAGGAGCCUAUCUUUCAUUUUCUCGACACAACGAAAAUAAGCAUACUGCCAUGACGUCUUGAUUAUCAAAGUGCCACAAACUCCCCAGAAUCCUAUGAUGAAUCCCAGUCCUAUGCUAACAAAGAACCAUGGCAAUUCAGAGUCAUCUCCAUCUUCAUCAUCAUUGUCUUCUCCUUUCCCAGUUGGAAUUGUUCCAUUGUUGUCAUGGCACUCUGUUAUCAGAGGAAAUCCACAAAGUGCGGGGUUGCCCUGGUAAAUAGACAGAUUAAUCAAGGUUUGAAACUGGUUGCCUGUUGGGAUUUUCCCUGACAAGUUAUUGUGUGACAGAUUCAGGUGAACCAAAAAGGUUAUGGAAGCCAUGCUCAUUGGAAUUGAACCAGAAAGUUUGUUUCUUGAUAGGUCGAGGAUCUCCAACCACUGCAAGUUUCCAAUCUUUUCUGGUAUAUUUCCCCCAAAAUUAUUGCUGGACAGAUUCAAGGUUCCCAGUUUCAGAAGGCUUGUUAGUUCGAUAGGAAUCUCCCCUGAUAAGCUAUUAUUGGAAAGAACCAGACUAUUCACAGGGUAGAGAAUGUUAUAGUAUUCCAGUGCUCUUCAUUUAGUAACAAGUUUCAAGCGUCCCUCGUAUUGUGCCAUAUCUGUAUAUCAUCAUCUGAAAGUUCAGAUUUGAAGCCACUCAAGUUCCGGAGGAUUGAAUCCUGGCACAUUGUUGUGUGAGACGUCCAGUAUGUGAAGGGUGGAAAGGGCACAGAUUUCUGAAGGAAUAUUACCGCUGAAGAAGUUGGACCACAAGGCUAAAAUCAAGAGGGAUGGAAUGCUUUCUUCUAUCUAGGAUGGAAUGUUUCCAGAAAAUUUGUUAUCACCAAGAUCAAGGCUUUCCAAGGCACUGCAGUUUUGCAGCUGGGAAGGAAGUUCACCAGAGUGACUGUUGUUGGAUAGCGCCAAGAAUCUGAGUGCCGUGAGGGAAACCAUUGAUCUUGGUAUUAUACCUGAGAGGCUGUUGUUUGACAUACCUGCAAUAUACAGGGAAGGCAUCUCAUUCCAGAUCUGAGGAAUUUCUCCACAUAAAUUAUUUUUGGAGAUAACCAAGGUGAUCAAAGCCUGUAGAUUACCUAUAGACAAGGGAAUGCUGCCAUUCAGAGAGUUCCAAGAGAUAUCCAAAUCUGUCAGAAUGGGUAUUACUUCACCAAUGUUCCGAGGAAUUGGUCCAGAAAACAAAUUACUCCUCAAAUACAGUGUACUCACAUUAAAAUACUGUUGAUAUCAUGUCAACUGGGGAUGGAUUCCUCUCUCUGAGGUAGCAAUGAAAGCUCCCAUUCAGAUGUUGGAAUUUGGACUUCCUGUUUCCCUACACAAAGAUGUCUGGACAGGUUAUCCAGGCACACCCUUCGAAGCCCAAGUCAGAUGCUAGGAAGAAUGGAAACCCUUAGAGAGAGAGAUCAUAGAACUCACAGUGUCCUCUCAUUCUAUUAUAUUACAGUAGGGUUUUUAUAGUGUUCAAAGGUGGAGAGGGGCUCAGUAGUGCUGAGUUGGCCAUUGUAGUGAUGAUUGCGCAAUAGUGAUAAGGUAAUCAUCAUAUUUGCAGGACGACUGGGAGCUGUGUUAGACGACGCGUCAUGACAUAGCUUGCCGUUCUUUCAACCUUGCUGGUGACCUAAGACUUGAUGUGCCUGUCUACUGAAGUAGAUGUGAGGAUGGGAAAGGUCUCAUCAGUCAAUCUAGUGUCAGCUAACCAGGGCCUCACAUAUCAAACAAGAUUUGAGGCUAUUAGGGGGAAGCGGGCCGCUCAGUGGCUCAAAUGGUUUGGACAGAAUGUUCCCCUGGGUGCCUUGAAGGUUGUCUGAAUAGUGAUGAAGACUGUCACGUGGCCCAACUGGGAUAAUGCCACGUGGACAGACGUGUGGAUGUACUCGUGGGUGGACACGUGGGAUAAGGCCCCCACAAAUACCAAAGUGGGAGAGGACCAUCAAAGAGGUUUGAGCUCAAAUCAACAUUGGAUAUGUAGUUGAACACUAGUGAGUUUGGAACUUUGCCUCUUAAUUGAUUAUAAGCAAUGUUGAGUUCAUUGAGCUGCAUUAUUCAGCACCAUAGUGGUUAACUCUGUUGGAAACGUGCCUUAAGUUGCUACAGUUAUGGGCAAACAAAAAGUUGCUGAAUAAUUGGUCAAUAGACCAAGUUUUUAGGAAAUAUUUUCUGCACAUAUAUAUAUAUAUAUAUAUAUAUAUAUAUAUAUAUAUUUUGGCUUGAUAUUAGGAAUUGGUUAGACAUGGCUUGAAAUUAGCAAAUUCUCUUGACUUUCUGUUAUGUUUCAGCUCUAUAUAAAGAGCAAUGCAAUGAAUAAAACAUACUUCCAGAUACCAAGUUUUUUUUCUUUACUAAAAAAGUUUUGUUUUUCCUUUGCUGUCAUAAAAUUUCUGUCCUGUUCUUGUGUCAUAUAUCAACAAUUUGGUAUUAGAGCACUUCUUCUUGAGGGAUCUGUGAGUUGAGUGAAUCCAUAAAUGGAAGUUGAAACAACUUUCUCCCAUGUUGCACCACCGAUUUUUGAUAGUGAUAACUAUCAAGCUUGGGCUGUUAGAAUGACAGUCCAUCUUGAAGCAUUAGAUCUUUGGGAAGCUAUAAAGGAAGACUAUGAUGUUCCCUCAUUGCCGGAAAACCCUACGAUGACUCAGCUUAAGACCCACAAAGAGAGGAAGAUCAGGAAAUCCAAAGCUAAAGCCUACUUAUUCUAUGCUGUUUUAAGCACUAUAUUUACAAGAAUCAUGAACCUGGAGUCAGCAAAAGAUAUUUGGGACUACCUUAAAAAGGAAUACCAAUGCAAUGAAAGAACCAAAAAUAUGCAAGUACUCAACUUGAUCAGGGAGUUUGAAAUGCUGAAAAUGAAGGAGACAGAAACCAUCAAAGACUACUCUGACAAGUUGCUGGGUAUAGUAAACAAGGUGAGGUUGCUUGGUAAGGACUUCUCUGAUGAACGAAUUGUGCAAAAAAUUCUUGUAACUCUGCCUGAAAAGUAUGAGUCUAAAAUUUCCUCAUUAGAAGAAUCUAAGGAUUUGUCAAGCAUAUCCUUGGCAGAAUUGGUGAAUGCAUUGCAGACACAAGAGCAAAGGAGAAUGAUAAGAAAAGAAGAAUCGAUGGAGGGUGCUCUUCAAGAAAAGGCAUAAAAUUCAGGAGAAGGCAAAGAUAAGAAAAACAACAAUAAGAAGAAGAACAACAAGACUGACAGCAACAACAAAAACAAGGAUGGAACCUAUCCACCUUGCCCACACUGUAAAAAGACAAAUCACCCACAAAGGAAGUGCUGGUGGAGGCCUGAUGUCAAGUGCAGGAAAUGUGGUUAGAUUGGACACAUGGAGCGGAUUUGCAAGUCACAACAACAUGAAGAGGCAAAAGCUUCUACUGAGCAACAUCAAGAAGAACAACAACUUUUUGUUGCAACAUGCUUCACAACAAGUAACAGCUCUAGCGAUUCCUGGUUGAUUGAUAGUGGCUGCACAAACCACAUGACCAAUGACCAAGAGCUCUUUAAGGAGCUUGAUAAAAUUAUCAUCUCUAAAGUAAAAAUUGGAAAUUGUGAAUGUAUUUCAGUUAAGGGUAAAGGAACUGUGGCUAUAGAAAGCUUAACAGGUUUGAAGUAUAUUACUAAUGUUCUAUAUGUGCUUGACAUUGAUCAAAACCUACUUAGUGUUGGAUAGCUGAUUGAAAAAGGUUUCAAAGUCAUAUUUGAAGACAAAUGGUGCAUGAUCAAAGACGCAAAAGGUAGAGAUGUAUUCAAAGUGAAAAUGAGAGCAAAAAGCUUUGCUCUAAAUCUAAUGGAGGAUGAGCCAAUAGCAUUUUCAAGCACUGUAAGCAAUGCAGAAUUAUGGCACAGAAGGCUCAGGCAUUUCCACCAUGUUGGACUUCUUCUAUAUAUGCAGAAAUAGAAUUUGGUGAAAGGUGUGCCAUUGUUGGAAGACAAGCUAGCUGAUUGUGUAGCUUGUCAAUAUGACAAGCAAACUAGAAGACCAUUUCCUCAAACAGCAUGGAGAGCAAUGCACAAGCUGCAACUGAUACACACAAAUGUUGGAGGACCUCAGAAAACACCAUCUUUAAAUGGUAAUAAGUAUUACAUUGCAUUUAUUGAUGAUUAUACCAGAUUUUGUUGGAUUUAUUUCCUCAAAUCCAAAUAUGAGGUUGCUAAUGUAUUUUGGAAAUAUAAAGCAUGGGUGGAGAAUCAAAGCAGUUGCAGGAUGCAGAAGAUAAGGUCAGAUAAUGGGAAAGAAUACACAAAUGAAAUUUUUUAUAAGUUCUGUGAAGAAGCCGGUAUUGAGCACCAACUCACAAUACCUUACACUCCACAACAGAAUGGAGUAAGUGAGAGAAAAAAUCGAAGUAUUAUGGAGAUGACAAGGUGUAUGCUACAUGAGAAGGAGUUGCUAAAGAAAUUGUGGGUAGAGGCUGCAAACACUGCAGUUUUUUUGCUGAAUAGGCUGCCAACUAGAGUUUUGCAGAAAAAAACUCCAUUUGAAGCCUGGUUUGGUUAUAAACCAAAUUUGCAGAAUCUAAGAACUUUUGGUUGUCUAUGUUUUUCUUAUGUGCCAUAGGUAAAAAAAGACAAACUUGAUAAGAAGGUAGAACCAAGAGUUUUCAUUGGAUAUAACAACUCUUCCAAGGCUUACAAAAUUUUCCAACCACAAAAUGGAAAAAUUCUUGUAAGUAGAGAUGUCAAGUUCAUGGAGGAUAGACAAUGGAACUGGGAAGAGUCAAUAAAGAUGCAACUGCCAGAGGUUCUGCAAUACUUUGAUAAAGACAUAGAUGAUGUCCCGGUUAGAGGUACAAGGUCCUUAUCUGAUGUUUAUGAAAGAAACAAUGUUGCUGUUUUUGAGCCUACAGAAUUUGAAGAGGCAGAGAAGGAUGACAAGUGGAUUGAAGCAAUGAAAGAGGAACUUAGAAUGAUUGAAAAGAAUGACACCUGGGAGUUGGUGGACAGACCUCAACACAGAAAGGUCAUUGGAGUCAAAUGGGUUUAUAGAACCAAACUUAAUGCAGAUGGUUCUGUAAAUAAAUACAAAGUCAGAUUAGUUGUGAAGGGGUAUAGUCAAGUGUUUGGAGUGGAUUUCUUAGAAACUUUUGCUCCAGUAGCACGCUUGGAUACAAUCAGAAUGUUGCUUGCUUUGACAGCACAAAAGAGAUAGAAAACUUACUAGUUGGAUGUAAAAUCUGUUUUUUUAAAUGGUUAUCUUCAAGAGGAAAUUUAUGUAGAGCAGCCCAAGGGAUUCCAAGUCAAGGGACAGGAGGAGAAGGUCUGCUUGUUGAAGAAGGCCUUAUAUGGUCUUAAACAGGCUCCUAGGGCCUGGUACAGCAGGAUUGAUGAACAUCUUCAAAGUCUUGGAUUUGUUAAAAGUCCAAGUGAAGCUACAUUAUAUGUAAAAGGAACAGAUGCUAACUUGAUUGUAAUUUCUGUUUAUGUUGAUGAUCUGCUUGUAACAGGUAGCAAUGAGAAACUGGUAAAAGAGUUUAAAGCUGAAAUGCUCAAAGUAUUUGAGAUAACAGACCUUGGCUUGAUGUCCUACUUUCUGGGUAUGGAGGUGAAGCAAGAUCAGGAUGGAGUCUUCAUAAGCCAAAAGAAGUAUGCAAAGGAAAUGCUUAACAAAUUUCACAUGGAAGAUUGCAAAAGGACUAGCACACCAAUGAAUCAAAAGGAGAAAUUUAGCAAAGAUGAUGGAGCAAAAAAAGUGGAUGAAAGCCAAUAUAGGAGCCUGAUUGGUUGCUUGAUGUAUCUUACAGCCACUAGACCAGACAUAAUGUUUUCAGUAAGCUUGCUUUCAAGAUUCAUGCAUUGUGCCAAUGAAGUGCAUUUUCAAGCUGCCAAAAGGAUUGUAAGAUAUAUCAAGGGCACAACAAAUUAUGGCAUUAAAUAUUCUUAUUGUCAGAAUUUUGAACUUCAUGGUUAUUCUGAUAGUGAUUGGGCAGGUUCUAUUGAUGACAUGAUAAGUACAACAAGAUUUUGUUUCAGUUUUGGAUCUGGAAUUUUUUCAUGGUCCUCAAAGAAGCAAGAUGUGAUAGCUCAAAGUAUAGCAGAGACAGAAUAUGUAGCAGCCAAUGCUACUAUAAAUCAAGCAUUUUGGAUUAGAAAAAUACUUGCAGAUCUACACAUGAAACAAAAUGAGCCAACACAGAUUCAUGUAGAUAACCAAGUUGCAAUUGCAAUUUCAAGAUCAAGUUGUAUCACUUAAGAGAAGAACAAAAGGAUGGUGAAGUUAAACUGCUUUAUUGCAAGACUGAGGAUCAAAUUGCAGAUGUGUUAACCAAGGCUCUACCAAAAGCUAGAUUUGAAACCUUAAGAAGCAAAAUAGGCCUCUGCAACUACUAAGGCAAGGAGGAGUGUUGGAAACGUGCCUUAAGUUGCUACAGUUAUGGGCAAACAAAAAGUUGCUGAAUAAUUAGUCAAUAGACCAAGUCUUUAGGAAAUAUUUUCUGCAUAUAUAUAUAUAUAUAUAUAUAUAUAUAUAUAUAUAUAUAUAUAUAUAUAUAUAUAUAUAUAUUUGACUUGAUAUUAGGAAUUGGUUAGACAUGGCUUGAAAUUAGCAAAUUCUCUUGACUUUCUGUUAUGUUUCAACUCUAUAUAAAGAGCAAUGCAAUGAAUAAAACAUACUUCCAGAUACCAAGUUUUUUUUCUUUACUAAAAAAGUUUUGUUUUUUCUUUGCUGUCAUAAAAUUUCUGCCCUGUUCUUAUGUCAUAUAUCAACAAACUCAUUUUGAGUUCUAAGCCAGCUAGGAAAUUUGGGACCUAAUUGGCAAGAUCUAAGGUUGAUGUAUGUGAGUUUGAAAGGAGGAGCCCAGUCAGAGGAGAUGUUGAAAACCAAAGAAACAUUUGGAGAACUUUUAGUAAUCGACAAUUGCUUUAGGUUUGAGAGGUUGGCAAAGUGAGCUUUUGUUAUGACACCUUCCCAUGAAUUCUCAUUAAGCUCCAGCAUGACCAGCGAUGAGAGUUGUCCAAUGCUGUCUGGGAUGAUCCCACCCAUUUGAUUAUGAGAGAGGUACAAUACCUGUAAAGAUGAUAAGCUCCCAAUUGAUUCUGGAAUUGAACCGCAAAAUGAAUUAGACAGUAAUUGAAGAUAUCUUAAAUUCUUAAGAUGCCCCAAUGAAUCUUGUAGGUUUCCAGUCAGUUUAUUGUAUCCCAAAUCCAGAUUCUCUAAGGUGCUGUAAGAGCAUGCAAAUAAGCCAUCGAGGAACUCAGUUAUCUCACCAGAAAGUUUGUUAACAGAGGAUCAAUGUCCGCAAAUUGCACAAAUUUCCAAGUGUUCUUGGAAAUUCUCCUUCAAUGUUCGAAUUCUUGGACAAAUCAAGUAGUUGGAGAGAAGUGAAGUUCUGGAAUGCAUCUGGAAGUCCACCUUAGAGGUUGUUGGAGUUGAGAUUGACAGAAGUUGUGGAAUAAAGGCUGAAAAUUUCUUAUUAUUUUUCAGAAUGUGAAACACGUACAACUUAUAUAGGAAGAGAGGUGGAUAUUUACAUAAAGAGUCCUACUCCAAGUUUAACUAAAAGGAUAAACAUUCCUAUUCCUAGUUUAACUAAAAGGAUAAACAUUACAACUGAUAAACGUUUACAACAGAUAGAUAUUAUCACUUAACAUAUGGGCAUUAUCACUUAGUGGCUAAGCAUUAUCUUUUCUGUUAGAGAUCAAGGUACACAAGGCUACUGAGAUUAAAUAACCAGUGAGGAAUGGUGGAGUCAAACCCUUGAGAGAUCAAGAAGGGAAAGAGAAGUAAAAUUGAGAAAUGGAAGAGAAAGGGACAAGUUGGAAAGUUGACAGUUGGGCAAGUGCAACUCCAAAAGAGAAGGCAAAGUAUCUAGAGCCAGUAGGCUGCAGCCUUGCUGAGAUCAAAGAAGAAAGGCCUGACAGCCAUUCUUGUUUGGUUUGAUAGUGUGUGUUGAGAUCAAGGUAGUGCAAGUUUGAGAGGUUUGCAAUAUAUGGAGGGAUCAUACUACCAAAGGAUGCUCCAGAGAGAUUGAGAUAUCUCAACUUCCCAAGUGAUCCAAUGAAUUUUGGAAUUUCCAUUCCUUCAAAAUUAUUCAUGCUGAGGUCUAGAUAAUUCAGAUAUUUCAAAUGGAGCAAAGAAGGAUUGAUCUCACCACCCAACUCGCUAACUGUUCCAUCGCCCUCCAAACUGUUUGGGAAUGGGUUGCCAAGUUUGAGCUUGAUGAUGCUUCCAGUCCUGUUAUAGCAGCUAACUCCUCUCCAUUUACUAUAAUCUUCUCUGACCCAAGAUGACAGCCGACCUCAAGAAUCCGUGAGGCCUUGUUUGAAUUUGAGAAGUGCUUCCUUCUCAACUUCUAGGCAAUCCAUGUUCUGAUUGGCAUCGCAUGAGCUGAGUUUAAUUGUUCCUUGGGACAAAUAGUAGGAGUGAAAGAAAUUGAGUAAUGACAUUGCACAUGAUCAUGUUAUGAUCAAAGUGUAAGAGGAAGAGAGUUUCUCUUCUAUCCAACAGAAGGCUGAAUUAGUCUACUUACAGAACAAAUUAGGUGCUUGAGGGGAAGAUUUAGUUGGUUGAUGUGGUUAGGACAUUUGACCCCACAUGUUGAUAUUGAAAUGCUUUGCCCUUUUUGAGACGCUAGAAUGUGAACAUUUUUUUAUAGGUUAUGAUGUGAACAUUAGAAACUCUAUUAGGAAGUGUGACAAUACCUUGUUCCAAAAGGAGGAAGAACUUUGUGAUAUCCUCACCAGCUACUAUUCUACCGAACUUGAGAACUCUGUUCCCAUUUGACAUUAUCCUGACUGCUAUAGCCUAAAUUUUUACUCAGUGAUAGUGUUAGCUUCUCUAUACGCAUUAUGACUUGUGAUCUUGUCAACUGACAAACUACGACAGCCAGACUCCUGGCGGGGGUUGUUAGAGCCACAAUAGUAAAACUUAAUGGAGUAGGGAAUCUGAGCUGUUGAAGCGUUCCUGUCCUUAAUGAAAAUGUCUUGCCUUCUUUGUUUUGUAGUGUGGCCUCUUUGACACGCUAAUGUAACACUUGCUUUAAUAGGUCCAGAUGUGGACAUCAAAACUUUACUAGAACGUGUGACAAUGCCAAAGAUUUGGGGUAAUUGCAUUUGUUCUUAUAUAUAGAGCUUCACGGUAUACUACUUCAGCAACUCGCAUAGAAACAUGGCUACUACCAAUGCCUGUCUUCAACUUCUUUUUCUUGUCAUUAUGUCCUCGGGGUUUCUUUUCCAUGAAACCCUUAAACCAGGCUGCUGCCAUGGUGAUCACCAUAGGGCAGCCUCCAUUGACACUGAGAGGGUAGCUCUUCUCAAGUUCAAACAAGGCCUUACAGAUCCUUCUCAUCGACUCUCAUCUUGGGUAGGGGAAGACUGCUGCAAGUGGAGAGGCGUCGUCUGCAACAACAGGAGUGGACAUGUCAUCAAACUCAAUCUGCGUAGUCUUGAUGAUGAUGGAACAGAUGGCAAGUUGGGCGGUGAGAUAAGUCUUUCUUUGCUUGAUUUGAAAUAUCUGAAUCACUUAGACCUGAGCAUGAAUAAUUUUGAAGGGACUCGAAUCCCAAAGUUCAUUGGUUCACUGGAAAGGUUGAGAUAUCUCAAUCUCUCCUGUGCCUCCUUCAGUGGACCAAUUCCUCCACAACUUGGAAAUCUUUCCAGGUUAAUCUACCUUGACCUCAAGGAAUACUUUGAUUUCAACAGAUACCCUGAUGAGUCCAGCCAGAAUAAUCUUCAGUGGAUAUCUGGUCUUUCUUCUUUAAGACACCUUAAUUUAGAAGGAGUCAAUCUAAGUAGAGCUUCUGCUUAUUGGCUUCAUGCUGUUAGCAAGCUUCCUUCUCUUUCAGAGUUGCAUCUAUCUAGUUGUGGACUUUCUGUCCUCCCUCGUUCUCUCCCAUCUUCCAAUCUUACAUCCCUUUCAAUACUUGUUCUCUCCAACAAUGGUUUCAACUCCACAAUACCCCACUGGCUAUUCCAGCUGAGGAAUCUUGUGUACCUUGAUCUCAGCUUUAACAAUCUUCGAGGCUCAAUUUUAGAUGCAUUUGCAAACAGGACUUGUCUUGAAAGUUUAAGAAAGAUGGGUAGCCUCUGCAACUUGAAAACACUGAUCCUUUCUGAGAACGAUUUGAAUGGGGAAAUAACUGAAAUGAUAGAUGUUUUAUCUGGGUGCAACAAGUGUAGUUUAGAGAACCUGAAUCUGGGAUUGAAUGAACUGGGUGGUUUUCUUCCUUAUUCACUAGGAAACCUGUCCAACUUGCAGUCUGUUCUGCUUUGGGACAACUCGUUUGUAGGCUCAAUUCCGAAUUCAAUAGGAAACUUGUUGAAUUUGGAAGAGCUGUACCUCUCUAAUAAUCAAAUGAGUGGGACCAUUCCAGAAACACUUGGACAACUUAAUAAGUUGGUUGCGUUAGAUAUCUCUGAGAAUCCAUGGGAAGGUAUUCUAACAGAAGCCCAUUUGUCAAAUCUCAUAAACUUAAAGGAGUUGUCCAUCGCUAAAUUUUCGUUACUUCCAGACCUAACAUUGGUUAUCAAUAUCAGUUCUGAGUGGAUCCCCCCUUUUAAGCUCCAAUACCUUAAUCUGAGAUCAUGCCAAGUGGGUCCUAAAUUUCCAGUUUGGCUCAGAAACCAAAAUGAGCUUAACACUCUAAUACUCAGGAAUGCUCGAAUUUCAGACACCAUACCAGAGUGGUUUUGGAAGUUAGACUUGGAAUUGGAUCAACUGGACUUGGGCUAUAAUCAAUUAAGUGGCAGAACUCCAAACUCAUUAAAGUUCACUCUUCAAUCCUCGGUUUGUUUGAUCUGGAACCAUUUCAAUGGUUCUCUGCCCCUUUGGUCAUCAAAUGUGAGUAGCCUACUUUUGAGAAAUAAUUCAUUUUCUGGACCAAUCCCUCGGGAUAUCGGGGAAAGAAUGCCCAUGCUGACAGAGUUAGAUCUCUCUCAUAACUCUCUAAGUGGAACCCUUCCCGAGUCCAUUGGGGAACUAACUGGUUUAGUGACUCUGGAAAUGUCAAACAAUAGUUUGACUGGAGAAAUCCCUGCAUUGUGGAAUGGUGUUCCCAAUUUGGUGGCGCGUGUAGACCUGUCAAACAACAACUUAUCUGGUGAGCUGCCAACUUCUGUGGGUUCUCUGUCCUACCUUAUCUUUUUAAUGCUCAGCAACAAUCAUCUUUCUGGGGAACUUCCUUCUGCCUUGAAGAAUUGCACAAACAUCCGUACUCUUGAUCUCGGAGGCAACAGAUUUUCAGGAAAUAUUCCGGCAUGGAUUGGACAAACAAUGCCAAGUCUUUGGAUUCUACGACUACGAUCAAAUUUGUUUGAUGGGAGCAUUCCGUUACAACUUUGCACUCUUUCCUCUCUUCACAUAUUGGAUCUUGCACAAAAUAAUCUGUCAGGAUCUAUUCCCUCUUGCGUUGGGAAUUUGAGUGCUAUGGCAUCUGAAAUUGAAACAUACAGAUAUGAGGCCGAAUUGACGGUGUUGACAAAAGGAAGGGAAGAUUCAUAUAGAAACAUUCUCUAUCUUGUGAAUAGCAUCGACCUGUCUAACAAUGGCCUAUCUGGAGAUGUGCCCGGAGGGCUAACAGAUCUUUCAAGAUUAGGCACCUUGAACUUGUCUAUGAACCAUUUGACAGGAAAAAUACCAGACAACAUUGGGGACUUACAAUUGUUGGAAACUCUAGACCUCUCAAGAAAUCAGCUUUCCGGUCCAAUUCCACCAGGUAUGGCUUCUUUGACUCUCAUGAAUCACUUGAACCUGUCGUAUAACAACCUGUCAGGUAGAAUUCCAUCAGGCAACCAGCUGCAAACCCUGGAUGAUCCAUCAAUAUACUGGGACAACCCUGCACUAUGUGGGCGUCCAAUAACCGCUAAGUGUCCUGGUGAUGAUGAUGGAACCCCCAAUCGUCCCAGUGGAGAUGAUGAAGAUGACGAUGAAGAUGGAGCUGAGGCUGAAAUGAAGUGGUUCUACAUGAGCAUGGGAACAGGAUUUGUGGUGGGGUUUUGGGGAGUUUGUGGCACCUUAGUAGUGAAGGAGUCAUGGAGGCAUGCCUAUUUUAGGCUUGUGAAUGACAUCAAAGAGUGGCUGCUUCUAGUUAUUCAGCUGAAUGUAGCCCGUCUCCAAAGGAAACUGAAGUUGGGAAGAAGCCAGCAUCAUACUUGAACAACCUUCUGAAAUGAAUGAAUGCUUUGAUGUAGCCUAGCAGUUCAGCUUUGUGUGCAACCUUCUGACAUUAAGUUCCAGAAAUAAAUGAAUGCUUCUAUAUAGUUUAGCACUUCAGCUUCAUGUACAACGUUCUGAAAUAUGAAGUUUUCCUUCCAAGUUUUUUUAAUCCGCUUUGUCUCUUAUUUUUCUAUCUUUUGGUCACAAAUUCACACAAACACUUACAUAUAUACUCGGAGACUUGCCAAAAAUAAAUAAAUGAGUUAAUAAACAACGAAGGCCAUCUCCGAUUCCCAGCAUCUCUCAGCAUUGCUUUGUGUCCUAUCAUCUUUUCAACACAACUCUUCACAGGGAAGCAGAUUAUAUUUCAUAAUUAAAUUAAGGGUCUUAACAAUUUCUAAUCUUCAUUAAAUUUUUUAAAUUCAAUUUAAUUUGACUUUAAGUAUGAUUACUACUUUCAAAAAAUUUAAAUUUUAUAAAAAAAAAUCUAUAUUAAAAAUUCUAAUAAUAUUUUUUAAUUUUUUUAGAAAAAAUUAUCUUGAAUUCCUUUAAUAUAUUUAUUUUAAAAUUUUAAAACUAAUUUUAUUAAAAUAUGUUUUAUUAUAUUUUAAUUAAAAACAUUAAAUCAUUUCUUAGAUUUAUAUAAAAUAUUUUAUUUAAGAUUUAAUUUCUAUUAUUUUAUUAAAAAUUUGUGGUGAUAAUUAUAUGUUAUUACAACCAAUUUAUCUAAAUAAAUAAAAUUAUAUUAAUAAUUUAUCUUAUCAAAUUAAUUUAAAUUUAAAAUUAUAUUUUAUAAAAUAUUUAAAUGACAUUAAUUUUUUAUUUAUGUUUAAGUAAUUUUUUAAAUAGAUUUAUAUUUUAAAUAUUUUAAAACAAAAACAUUCAAAAUUAAAUAAAAUUAAAAGGAUAAAUAUAAAAGAAAAAAAAUUUAAAGUGAAGUGAUAGAAAUUUUUUGAAGUAGGGUUAAUGUGAUAAAUAUAAAAAACAAUUAAAAAUAAAAAGAUAAUAUAAAUUUAAAAUAAACAAUAAAUUAAAAAAAAAAAUGCCCACUGUCUGGGCAUUAUUUAAAUGAAGUAUCCAAAAUUUUAAUCAAUGAUUUAAGCUCUGCCCUUAGAUUAAAUAUUUAAUUCAGAUGAGGUUGGUUUAAAAACACACAAGCCUGAUCUUGGUUAUUGGAUAAAAAAAUUUUUUGGCAAAAAAUCAUCAUUUUUCAAGGAAAUUUUGGAAUAAAUUUAAAGUACACAAAAAAUUUAAAAAAAAUUGCCGACUCUCCAGGCAUUUAAAUUAUUUAAUUGAAGUAUCCAAAAUUUUAAUCCAUGAUUUAAGCUUCUCUCUUAGAUCAGACAUUUAAUUCAGAUGAGGCUUAAAAACACACAAGCCUGAUCUGGUCAUUGGAUCAAGUUGGAGGAAAAGAAGCAUGUAAAUAUGUCACAAAAUUUUGGGGAAAAAAUCGUUAUUUUUCAAGUUGGAGGAAAAGAAGCCUGUAGAUAUGUCACAAAUUUCUGGGGAAAAAAUCGUUAUUUUUCAAAGAAAUUUUGGAAUACAUUUAAAAUAAAUGAUAAAUUAAAAAAAAUAAAAAUUGCUCACUCUCUAGGCAUUAUUUAAACGAAGUAUCCAAAAUUUUAAUCCAUGAUUUAAGUUUGGGCCUUAGAUCAAACAUUUAGAUGAGGUUUAAAAACACACAAGCUUGGUCCUGGUCAUUGGAUCAAGAAUCUUUCAUUUCAACCCUUAAUUGGAGGAAAAGAAGCAUGUAGAUAUGUCACGGAUUUUUUUUUAGCAAAAAAUUGUCAUUUUUCAAAGAAAUUUUGGAGAUUUUUUGCUUCAUCCGCUUCAGUGAUUACUUCGAUCCAAGUCAAUAAAUUGGCAAUUCAAAAUUUCUCAUUUCCAUGCCAUUUUUUUGCUUCGACUGUCGUUAAUAUUCAUAUUUUGUUGAAAUGUCGGCAAAAUUUCAAACCUUGGUUGGGGUUAAAGCUUGCAUGACAAGUGGUAUCUAAGCUUAGCUCAACAUACAAGGGCUUUAUGUUUGUAUGGCAAUUUCUUUUCUGGCCCCAAUUCCUCUGGAGUUCGGUGAAAGAAUGCCCAUGCAUUCUUGGUAUUGCCAUGGGCUUCUAUACAAAAAUUGACCAAGGGCUUUAUGCUGUUCUUGGAGCAGCCUCCCUGAUGGCUGGUUCAAUGAGGAUGACUGUUUCCCUCUGUGUCAUAUUCCUUGAACUCACAAACAACCUCCUCUUACUACCCAUAACAAUGAUUGUGCUUCUAAUAGCCAAAAGUGUUGGUGAUUGCAUCAACCCAAGCAUUUAUGAGAUAAUACUGCAUCUCAAAGGCCUGCCUUUCUUGGAUGCGAAUCCUGAGCCAUGGAUGAGAAAUUUAAUUGUUGGGGAGCAUGCAUCAUGCCAAGCCACAAGUAGUUACCCCAUAGUGGAGUGGAAAAGCUAGCCCGCAUUGUCGAUGUCCUGAGAAACACCACGUGCAAUGGUUUCCCAGUUGUAGAUGAAGGGGGUGGAACCAUCUGUCGGUCUGGCCAUAGGGGCAACUGAACUGCAUGGAAUUUGGCCAAGAGCACACCUUGUUAAAGUGCUGAAGAAGAGGUUCCUGCGAGAGAGAAGGAGAACAGAGGAGUGGGAAGUGAGAGAGAAAUUUACCCAGCUAAAUCUUUUCUUUCUUUUUGGUUGCAUACAAUGAUAACAAUGGUCAUUCUUCAUUGGAAACUAUGCCAUAGGUUCAGUGCCUUCAAAUAUGCAAGGUCAUAUAGUACUAGAUGUUCUUAAUAACUACAGAAUGAUGCCAUUGUUCAUUCAAGAUGAUACUCCCAGCUACAAGAUGCAUCAUAUGUCUUCUAAAAAGAAAAGAAAGAAGGAAGAAUGUAUUACCUCUGGGUUCCAGGAAAAAAAUUAAAACCAUGGGCUUUAUCCAAAUGCCAUUCCUUACAGGACAACAAUGACUUACAAUCCUGUUUAAUAAUUUCUGUAUUAGAAGCUUGAGACAAUAAUUCAUGUUUUCUAAUUUGCCAAAAAUCAAAGUAGAGUCAGAUCUAAUUGCAAGGUAAUUCUAAGAAGACAACAUAGAAACUUAAGAUCCAGAAAUACCUCUUUGAAGCUUUCUCAUCCACAAAUAAUAUAGAUGAGAGUUUUAGGCAGUGACUGACCCUCUUCUGGAGAUGUUUUGCUUUCAAUCUGAACCGAGGCUUCCUUUGCACGUAAAAUCCAUGGUC
rnacentral:lncRNA from 1 species